rnacentral:rRNA from 1 species
UCGAAAAUUGAGAGGAUCUGUCCCUAGUACGAGAGGACCGGGAUGGACGUACCUCUGGUGUACCAGUUGUGGCGCCCGCUGCAGCGCUGGGUAGCUAUGUACGGACGGGAUAACCGCUGAAAGCAUCUAAGCGGGAAACCCACCUCAAAACGAGUUUUCGCUAUAGAGCCGUGGUAGACCACCACGUUGAUAGGCCGGGUGUGGAAGAGGCGUAAGUCUUGAAGCUAACCGGUACUAAUAGCUCAAUUGGCUUGAUUCG